rnacentral:rRNA from 1 species
GGGAGUGAAAUAGUACCUGAAACCAUGUGCUUACAAUCCGUCAGAGCACCUCUUGUGUGUGAUGGCGUGCCUUUUGAAGAAUGAGCCUGCGAGUUAGCGAUAUGUGGCGAGGUUAACCCGUGUGGGGUAGCCGUAGCGAAAGCGAGUCUUAAGAGGGCGAUCCAGUCGCAUGUCCUAGACCCGAAGCGAAGUGAUCUAUCCAUGGCCAGGUUGAAGCGACGGUAAGACGUCGUGGAGGACCGAACCCACUUCAGUUGAAAAUGGAGGGGAUGAGCUGUGGAUAGGGGUGAAAGGCCAAUCAAACUUCGUGAUAGCUGGUUCUCUCCGAAAUGCAUUUAGGUGCAGCGUCACGUGUUUCUUGCCGGAGGUAGAGCUACUGGAUGGCCGAUGGGGCCCAAAAGCUUACUGACGUCAGCCAAACUCCGAAUGCCGGUUUAAGUUAGCGCAGCAGUGAGACUGUGGGGGAUAAGCUUCAUAGUCGAGAGGGAAACAGCCCAGAUCGCCGGCUAAGGCCCCUAAGCGUGUACUAAGUGGAAAAGGAUGUGGGAUCGCGAUGACAGCCAGGAGGUUGGCUUAGAAGCAGC